ACGUUAUGCCGUCUGGUUAUCGACAUCAUGUACGGAGAAGUUUGCACACGAUCUUUCGGGCAACGCGCCACGAGUAAUCCUAUUUGAGUCUGAUCGUUGAGCCUCGACUACACGUGAGCCGGUCGUGAUACACGCUAAAAUUAUAUACAUACAUAUAUAAGUACUUUCUCGUACACACAUCUCUCCAGUAGCAACUGCUUCUCGGAUUCUUGUGAAUUUUCGCGACUCAACCAUCGUUUACGCAUGUUCUUCGACAAAAUUUCGUCUUCAGUGGAAAACCGAGGGAAAUAUCGUGAACGAUGGGGAAAUUUUGGGAUGAAUUUUGUGUAGCAAAACCGUUCGUAUACCAGCAGCGUUGUAUACCUAUUUUAAUGCAUAAUGCAGGUAACUCGAGUCCUUACGAGCGAAAUAAUUCCCAUCAUAACCAGUUUUUCUGUGAUGUAACGUUAUAUGAAUAUAAAUAUCACGAGUCUCCUAGAAAUAGCAAAGGAGCUGGAAAUAAGAUGCAAAAUGAGUAUCGAGCGUUUAUAGCGCAACGUAUAUUAAAAAUUUCUCUAAUAUUCUCCUUUUAUAGGCUUACAGCGAAAAUACGUACCUCUACGUAUAUAAGAAUUGUAAUUAAAUGUUCCCGUUAAUCAUGUGAAUUAAUACUUAUAACAGACGCGUCUCCUUACAAGUUAAAUAUGAAAAAUUCAGACGCUCAGGAUAUAACAAAGCUUUAUGCAAAGGCGCACACCAAACAAGUGGACUAAGAUUUGUGAAAAUUCCAGAACAGGGAAUUAUUGGAAAAUGUUUACUUUGGCAAAAAGUGACAAUUUAAAUGCGCAAGAGAAUAUCUUUUUAACGAAUGCUUGGACCCACGAGAAUCUUAAAUUGACUAAAAGCGAGCGUUGCUCAAUUUUACGAAUUUUUACACGACAAUACGUUCUGGGAUGAUUCAACUACUAGAAGAAGACAAUAUCUUCCUCUAAAGUCCAUUUGUCAUGAAAUCUUCGAUUACGACUAAUGAAAACAUUAACAUGCACAACUAUCAGAGUUUUCUUUCCGUGAACGAACAUCUGAAUGAAAUAAAUUGAAACGGACGAAAUUAAGUAACAAAAAUUCUAUGU
rnacentral:misc_RNA from 1 species